UACGUAGGUGGCAAGCGUUGUCCGGAUUUACUGGGCGUAAAGAGCGCGCAGGCGGUCGUUCAAGUCGCGUGUGAAAGCCCCCGGCUCAACUGGGGAGGGUCACGCGAUACUGAUCGACUGGAAGGCAGGAGAGGGUAGUGGAAUUCCCGGUGUAGUGGUGAAAUGCGUAGAUAUCGGGAGGAACACCAGUGGCGAAGGCGACUACCUGGCCUGUUCUUGACGCUGAGGCGCGAAAGCGUGGGGAGCAAACAGG
rnacentral:rRNA from 1 species